rnacentral:rRNA from 1 species
CCUACGGGCGACUGCAGUGAGGAAUAUUGGUCAAUGGACGAGAGUCUGAACCAGCCAAGUAGCGUGAAGGAUGACUGCCCUAUGGGUUGUAAACUUCUUUUAUAUGGGAAUAAAACGUUCCACGUGUGGGAUUUUGUAUGUACCAUAUGAAUAAGGAUCGGCUAACUCCGUGCCAGCAGCCGCGGUAAUACGGAGGAUCCGAGCGUUAUCCGGAUUUAUUGGGUUUAAAGGGAGCGUAGGUGGAUUGUUAAGUCAGUUGUGAAAGUUUGCGGCUCAACCGUAAAAUUGCAGUUGAAACUGGCAGUCUGGAGUACAGUAGAGGUGGGCGGAAUUCGUGGUGUAGCGGUGAAAUGCUUAGAUAUCACGAAGAACUCCGAUUGCGAAGGCAGCUCACUGGACUGCAACUGACACUGAGGCUCGAAAGUGUGGGUAUCAAACAGGAUUAGAUACCCGAGUAGUC